UCAUGAUGUAAGCUGGCUGUUCCAAUAUGGCUCCCUGUCAUGAUCUGCUGCUCUGCCACAGGCCCAAAGCAAUAGGGCCAAUUGAUCAUGGCCUGGAACCUCCAAAACUGAAUUUUCUAAAUGAAAAUAAAUCUAAAAGCAUUCUUGUGACUGUGACUUCUCUGAAUGCCAACUCAAAGAAAAAGAAAGAAAUCCUGUUCGGUUCCUUGCCUUUGAAGCCUCAGGACAGCCAAGUUUAUAUUAUCUAUAUCAAACUGUUCAAAAGAAGUAUGUAAACGACAGAUGUGAGCCACAUAUGUAAAUUAAAAUGUUUCAGUAGCCUCAUUAAAGAAAAAUUAAAACAAACUCAUUUGGAAGAGUUUAUCCAUUGUACAGAGCAGAGAUGCUGCUUAAGGGGCUUAAUUGACCGCAAGGCCUAGAGAGUACUGCACAACCAAGUGCUCAUGAUGUAUCAAAGAGAGACCCAUGGACUGUUAAUUCCCUGUGAUGAUUACUAUGCCACAGCUUGAACAAAAUGAUGUGUGAAUCCAACAGAGAAAACAAUAUGGCGUAGAAGAGUUCAGGAUGAAUUCAUAGAGGAAGUGAUAUCUGAGCUGAACUCCGAAGGUAAAGUAGAAUUUUUGCAGGUGGAGAAACUGAAUAAAUGAGUAAAUGAA